rnacentral:rRNA from 1 species
GCUUAACUACGAACGGUCAUUGGAAACUGGAAAACUUGAGGGCAGAAGAGGAGAGUGGAAUUCCACGUGUAGCGGUGAAAUGCGUAGAGAUGUGGAGGAACACCAGUGGCGAAGGCGACUCUCUGGUCUGUAACUGACGCUGAGGAGCGAAAGCGUGGGGAGCGAACAGGAUUAGAUACCCUGGUAGUCCACGCCGUAAACGAUGAGUGCUAAGUGUUAGGGGGUUUCCGCCCCUUAGUGCUGCAGUUAACGCAUUAAGCACUCCGCCUGGGGAGUACGGCCGCAAGACUGAAACUCAAAAGAAUUGACGGGGGCCCGCACAAGCGGUGGAGCAUGUGGUUUAAUUCGAAGCAACGCGAAGAACCUUACCAGGUCUUGACAUCCCUUUGACCGUCCUAAAAAUAGGGUUUUCCCUUCGGGAACAAAGGAGACGGGGGGCGCGUGGGUGG